rnacentral:lncRNA from 1 species
AGCCCCUUGAGGCGUUCAUCCAGCACCAUUUCAGAGAAAUCUCUAUUUCAAUCUAUUCCUAUAUGUUAGUUAUUGAAAAACAAUAGACAAUCACAAAAACAAGUUGACCUUAUUGUGUUCAUUGAGCCCAGUAGUGCAGGGCCCUCUUGACUGGGCCUCAUGCCAAACAACUCGUUACAAAAACAGCUAGGGCCCCACGCUGCGCCAAAGCUUCAUGAAAGACCUCUCCUCAUCUGUGAACGGACAAGUGGCCGACUCUGGAGCCCAGGCUGUUGCUUGCCAGUCUGGUGGUGAAUCCUCCAUAGUCUGUGUUACAAUGAACAUACUUGAACAUGUAUCUUUCUGCAACCUCCUCAUAUUUAAUGUGAUGCCAGUCAACAUCUUAACAGAAGUUUUCCAGAGAACUUGACAAGCUCCUGAAAUUCAAAUGAAAACAGGAACCAAGAACAGCCAAAAACCCUUUUGAAGACUAAUAAUAAGGAAAUCCUGCCAUAUCAAAAUACAUUUUAAUGUUCUAAUAAAGUAGUAUGGUAUUGUUAUAAGAGACAUAUCAAUACAAUAGAGAACUUAGGACACACAUAGGUUUGGUCUGUGAUAGAGGUGACAUUAUAGAUCAAUGGAGGAAAAAAAUGUUCAAUAAGUGAAUCCUCAUAUUGAAAAAGAUAAAAUUAGAUCUAAUGAUAUGGUUUGGUUGUGUCCCCACCCAAAAUCUCAUCCUGAAUUGUAAUCCCCAUAAUCCCCACACGUCAAGGGUGGGAUGAGGUGGAGGUAACUGGAUGAUGGGGAUGGUUUGCCCUAUGUUGUUCUCAUGAUAGUGAGUGAGUUCUCACGAGAUGUAAUGGUUUUAUAAGCAUCUGGCAUUUCCCCUGCUCGCUUCUCCCCCCCUGCUGCUCUGUGACUAGGUGCCUUCUACCAUGAUUCUACGUUUCCUAAGGCCUCCCCAGCCAUGCUGAACUGUGAGUCAAUUAAACCUCUUUCCUUUAUAAAUCACCCAGUCUCCAGCCGUUCUUUUUCCUUUUCUUUUUGAGACGGAGAUUUCCUCUUGUUGCCCAGGCUGGAGUGCAAUGGCGUGAUCGCGGCUCACCGCAACCUCUGCCUCCCAGGUUCAAGCAAUUCUCUUGCCUCAGCCUCCCGAGAAGCUGGGAUUACAGCCACACGCCACCACACCCGGCUAAUUUUGUAUUUUUAGUAGAGAUGGGGUUUCUCCAUGUUGGUCAGGCUGGUCUCGAACUCCCGACCUCAGGUGAUUCACCUGCCUCGGCUUCCCAAAGUGCUGGGAUUACAGGCGUGAGCCUCCGGGCCCGUUCAGGCAGUUCUUUAUAGCAGUGCGAAAACAGACUAAUACAGACCUCAAUCUCAUACUACAUGUAAAAAUAAAUUCCAGAUGGACAAAAGACCUAAGUGUACAAUGAAAAACCUUAAAUCUUUCAGUAGAAAACAUAUAAGCAUUUUUUUAAACCAAGGUGAAGAAGAUUUCUUUAACAAGAUACAAAUAAUACAAACUGUAGAAGAAAAACUACAUUUUUAAUUUAAAAUCGUUUACAACAAAAUUAUAUAUUUCAAGGUAAAAAGACAAGACACAAACUAGAAGAUGAAAUUAAGUAUUUAUACAACAAAGGAUCAGCAUCUAGAGUAUGUACAGCAUUCUUAAAACUCAGUAAAACAGAAAAACAAAACAGGCAAAUAAUAUGAACCAGCAGUUCACCAAGAAAGAAGCCCAAAUGGCCCCAAAACAUAUGAAAAGAUGUUCAACUUUACUAGUCAAGAAAAUAUAAAUUUUAAAAAGAUGUUUGUAUCCAAC